rnacentral:rRNA from 1 species
AGAGUUUGAUCAUGGCUCAGAUUGAAAGCUGGCGGCAGGCCUAACACAUGCAAGUCCAGCGAGAAAGCACUUCGGUAUGAGCAGAGCGGCGGACGGGUGAGUAACGCGUAGGAAUUUGCCCAGGAGUUGGGGGACAACAUGUGGAAACGCAUGCUAAUACCGCAUACGCCCUAAGGGGGAAAGCAGGGGAUCUUCGGACCUUGCGCUAUUGGAGAAGCCUGCGUCGGAUUAGCUAGUUGGUGGGGUAAAGGCUCACCAAGGCGACGAUCUCUAGCUGGUCUGAGAGGAUGAUCAGCCACACUGGGACUGAGACACGGCCCAGACUCCUACGGGAGGCAGCAGUGGGGAAUAUUGGACAAUGGGGGCAACCCUGAUCCAGCCAUGCCGCGUGUGUGAAGAAGGCCUUCGGGUUGUAAAGCACUUUCAGCGAGGAGGAAAGGUUAGUCGUUAAUAUCGGCUAGCUGUGACGUUACUCGCAGAAGAAGGACCGGCUAACUCCGUGCCAGCAGCCGCGGUAAUACGGAGGGUCCGAGCGUUAAUCGGAAUUACUGGGCGUAAAGCGCGCGUAGGCGGUUAGAUCAGUCAGAUGUGAAAGCCCUGGGCUCAACCUGGGAACUGCAUCUGAUACUGUCUAACUAGAGUUUGGUAGAGGAGUGUGGAAUUUCCUGUGUAGCGGUGAAAUGCGUAGAUAUAGGAAGGAACACCAGUGGCGAAGGCGGCCUUCUGGACGGUGACUGACGCUGAGGUGCGAAAGCGUGGGGAGAAAACAGGAUUAGAUACCCUGGUAGUCCACGCCGUAAACGAUGUCUACUAGCCACUAGGAGACUUCUCUUAGUGGCGCAGCUAACGCAUUAAGUAUUCCACCUGGGGAGUACGAUCGCAAGAUUGAAACUCAAAGGAAUUGACGGGGGCCCGCACAAGCGGUGGAGCAUGUGGUUUAAUUCGAAGCAACGCGAAGAACCUUACCAAAUCUUGACAUCCCAUUGACCGCCAUUUAAUUUGGCUUUUCUUCGGAACAAUGGUGACAGGUGGUGCAUGGUUGUCGUCAGCUCGUGUCGUGAGAUGUUGGGUUAAGUCCCGCAACGAGCGCAACCCUUACUUUUAGUAGCCAGCAUGUAAUGAUGGGGACUCUAGAGGGACUGCCGCGGACAACGCGGAGGAAGGUGGGGAUGACGUCAAAUCAUCAUGCCCCUUAUGAUUUGGGCUACACACGUGCUACAAUGGUAGUUACAGAGAGAAGCGAAACGGUGACGUGGAGCAAACCUCAAAAAAGCUAUCCCAGUUCGGAUUGUAGUCUGCAACUCGACUACAUGAAGUUGGAAUCGCUAGUAAUCGCGAAUCAGGAUGUCGCGGUGAAUACGUUCCCGGGCCUUGUACACACCGCCCGUCACACCACGGGAGUUUAUGGCACCCAACGUCAGUGACCCAACAGAUUUAUCUGAGGGAGCUGCCUAAGGUGAAAUAGAUGACUGGGGUGAAGUCGUAACAAGGUAACC